GACGCGCAGUCGCCCCCCCAGGCAGCCUAGGCGGCGGCAGCUGCUGCGGCGACUGCAAAGGCCGAUUUGGAGUGCUGGAGCGAAGAAGAGCAAAAGCUGCGUUCUGCGCGCGCCCGACUCCGCUGCCCGCCCCGCCAGGCCUCCGGGAGGUGGGGGCUGGGAGGCGUCCCCCGCUCCCGCCCCCUCCCCACCGUUCAAUGAAAGAUGAACUGGCGAGAGAAAGCGUUUGAUUUAUGAGCGUAGGACGAAUCGCAUCCAGGAGCUGCGCAGCCCUGGCCGCUGCCGGGACGCCCUGCUCCGCGCUGAGCUUGGGGCCAGAAACCAGCCAUAGUCCCCACACUCCGCCGCCGCAGCUGAGAUUUAGCGGAGGAAGGGGCGAGGGAAGGUAGGGAGCAAACCUAUGAAGAAACAUCGCGUUGUCAUUGGAACUUCCAAGCCUUUGCUGUUAAGAGCCAGGUUCUUAAAUCAACCCGCCCCACACACAUGUUGCUUACAUGCUGCGUUUUCUCACGGUCUGUUUUGCCUGAACCCAUCAACAGCUGGGAGAUUAAUCAACCACACUGAAAAUGUGGAGGGAUUUAUGGGGGAGGGGGUUGAAAUGUGGGUGUUUGAAACAAAAGUGUAUAAACAAAUGAAUUGUUGAUAACUUAGUUAUUGACCUGGAGACUGGUAGCUUAUUAAAGAAACUCCGUGUUACUCA
rnacentral:lncRNA from 1 species